UCAAGCUGUUAAGGGCAUAGAGUGAAUGCCUUGGUGCCAACAGGCGAUGAAGGACGUGAUAAGCUGCGAUAAGCUUCGGAGAGCCGCACACAGGCUUUGACCCGGAGAUUUCCGAAUGGGGUAACCUGAUUCCAGUAAUAUGGGAUCGUUCCAUCCUGAAUAAAAUAGGGAUGGAUACGCGAUACCUGGUGAAGUGAAACAUCUCAGUAACCAGAGGAAAAGAAAACGAAUGUGAUUCCGUAAGUAGCGGCGAGCGAAAGCGGAAUAGCCCAAACCGGGGCCUUUGGUCCCGGGGUUGUAGGACCCUUGAUGGGACCUCGGAAGGUAGUCUAAAACGUUGGAAAGCGUUUCCAUAGCGGGUGACAGGCCCGUGGACGAAACCGGAAGAGGCCCUGUGGAGUUCCUGAGUAGCGCAGCACACGUGAAACGUUGCGUGAAUCUGCCCCGACCACGGGGUAAGGCUAAAUACUAGUUGGCGACCGAUAGUGAACCAGUACCGUGAGGGAAAGGUGAAAAGUACCGCUGCGAGCGGAGUGAAAUAGAACCUGAAACCCUAUGCCUACAAGGUGUCAGAGCCCCUUCGGGGGUGAUGGCGUGCCUUUUGCUUAAUGAGUCUGCGAGUUACUCUCUGUGGCAAGCUUAAGGUCUUUUGGACUGGAGGCGUAGCGAAAGCGAGUCCGAAUAGGGCGAUUAGUUGCAGGGGGUAGACCCGAAGCGGAGGUGACCUACCCAUGGCCAGGUUGAAGCGUGAGUAAAAUCACGUGGAGGACCGAACCGUUGUGUGUUGAAAAAUGCUCGGAUGAGCUGUGGGUAGGAGUGAAAGGCUAAUCAAACCCCGUGAUAGCUGGUUCUCUCCGAAAUGCAUUUAGGUGCAGCGUCACGUGCUGAAGGACGGGGGUAGAGCACUGAAAGGGCUAGGGGGCAUACCCGCCUACCAACCCCUAUCAAACUCCGAAUACCGUCCGGUGGAGCGUGGCAGUGAGACAGUGGGGGAUAAGCUUCAUUGUCGAAAGGGAAACAGCCCAGAUCAGCAGCUAAGGUGCCUAAAGUACGCUAAGUGGAAAGGAGGUGGAGUCUCAUAGACAGUGAGGAUGUUGGCUUAGAAGCAGCCACCAUUUAAAAAAAGCGUAACAGCUUACUCAUCGAGAGACUCUGCGCCGAAAAUAAUUGGCGAUAAGCGUGCUACCGAAGCUCUGGAUGUCAUCCUUAUGGAUGGCGUGGUAGGAGAGCGUUCCCAGUGCAGCGAAGGGUGAUGGUGACUGACCCUGGAGCGCUGGGAAGUGAGUAUGCAGACAUGAGUAACGAUAAGACCGGUGAAAUCCCGGUCCGCCGUAAACCCAAGGUUUCCCGGGCAACGUUUUUCGUCCCGGGGUUAGUCGGGACCUAAGCCGAGGCCGAUAGGCGUAGGCGAUGGAAAGCUAGUCAAUAUUCUGGCACCUCCGACCCUUAAACUGGGGGGACGCGGUUUGAAAAGUAGCUAGGUUAUUGAAUUCCGAGAUGCGGCCACGGCCAAUUCGUACUACCAGACAAACCGCCAAGAAAAGCCCCAGCAAAUGCUAAGGAGCCCGUACCGUAAACCGACACAGGUGGGUGGGUAGAGUAUACCAAGGCGCAAGAGUGAAACCUGGUUAAGGAACUCGGCAAAAUGGCUCCGUAACUUCGGGAUAAGGAGUGCCCCUUUUUUGGGGGCCGCAGUGAAUUGGCCCAUCCGACUGUUUAGCAAAAACACAGCAUUGUGCUAAGGCGUAAGCCGACGUAUACGAUGUGACACGUGACCAAUGCCAAAAGAUUACGGUAAGGUGUUAGCCCUCGUGGCGAAGCUCCGAGCCCAAGUCCUGGUGAAUGUCGGCCGUAACUAUAACGGUCCUAAGGUAGCGAAAUUCCUUGUCGGGUAAGUUCCGACCUGCACGAAUCGUGCAACGAGUUGGGCGCUGUCUCGACCAGGUGCUCAGUGAAAUUGUAGUUCCGGUGAAGAUGCCGGACACCCGCAGAAGGACGGAAAGACCCUAUAGACCUUAACUGUAAGCUGU
rnacentral:rRNA from 1 species